UACGUAGGGGGCAAGCGUUGUCCGGAAUCAUUGGGCGUAAAGCGCGUGUAGGCGGCUAGAUAAGUCUGCUCUGAAAGCCCGGGGCUCAACCCCGGGAGGCGGGUGGAUACUGUCUAGCUCGAGUCCGGAAGAGGAGUGUGGAAUUCCUGGUGUAGCGGUGAAAUGCGCAGAUAUCAGGAGGAACACCGAUGGCGAAGGCAGGUCUCUGGGCCACUACUGACGCUGAGAAGCGAAAGCAUGGGGAGCGAACAGG
rnacentral:rRNA from 1 species